UAAAAAAUCGCAAUCGCGGUAAAUCGCCGAGAUCCGUGCGAGACCAGAGUAAAGCAUAGGAAAGAAAAGGUGCCAGCAACAGAAAACCAAACAGGCUAAUAAAGCAGAAAAUACAGGGUUAAUUUGGGGGAAGGGUAACAGGGGGAGAAUAUCACACUAUACAAGUCCAAAUGGAAGGCAAGUGAAAAAUAAUGAAAAACGUUUAGGCCAAAAUUGCAGGACAAGCUAAUAAAGUUUAACUAAAGUGGCCAUGCAUAUCCAGAAACAGUUUGGAGCAAAACUGAAUGUCUUACAUUAAAAAUUUAACUAAAGUGACCAUAGCAAUAUUAAUAAAAACAGUUGGAGCAAACAAAGUCAAUUAAUAAAGUUUAAUUAAAGUGACAAUUGCAAUAUCCAGAAAACCAGUUUGGAUUAAAACUGAAUGUCUAGCAUAAGGUGUCUAACUACAGUGACC